rnacentral:tRNA from 3 species
GCCCGCGUAGCGCACUGUAGAGCAGCCCCUUCGUAAGGGGCAGGUCGGGGGAUCAACCACUCCCGCGGGCUCCA